rnacentral:rRNA from 1 species
AGAUAAUUGAAAAGAGCAUUUGGUGAAUGCCAUGGUAUCAGGAGGCGAUGAAAGAAGUGGAAGGCUGCUGUAAGCCUCGGGGAGCUGCCAAUCAAGCUUUGAUCCGGGGAUUUCUGAAUGGGGAGACCCACCUAGGUGAAGCCUAGGUAUCUUUAUCUGAAUACAUAGGGUAAAGAGGCGAACGACGUGAACUGAAACAUCUAAGUAGCGUCAGGAAAAGAAAACGAAUGUGAUUCCCUAAGUAGUGGUGAGCGAAACGGGAACAGCUUAAAACUUGUGCUGUGUAAGCCUGCAUGCGUUGCAGUACAGGGGAAGCGAGAUGUGAUAUCUGAACAAUGCAGUUGUUCGGGUCAAGUAGUUAGCAUAUUUGAAGGCACUGGGAAGUGCGACCAAAGAAGGUUAUAGUCCUGUAAGAUAAAUGCUAAAAGCGCUUGAUAAUUGCACUCUCAAGUAUUACGGAGCACGUGAAAUUCCGUGAGAAUCUGCCCAGACCAUUGGGUAAAGCUAAAUACUACCUGAUAACCGAUAGUGAACGAGUACCGUGAGGGAAAGGUGAAAAGAACCCCGGGAGGGGAGUGAAAUAGAACCUGAAACCAAAUGCUUACAAUCGGUGGAAGCACUAUAUACGAAUGUGUGACCAUGUACCUUUUGCAUAAUGGGCCAACGAGUUGCUCCUGCGUUGCAAGGUUAAGUCUGGAAAGGACGAAGCCGUAGCGAAAGCGAGUCUGAAUAGGGCGUUUAGUAGCGUGGGGCAGACCCGAAACCUAGUGAGCUAUCCAUGAGCAAGGUGAAGUCUUGGUAAAACAAGAUGGAGGCCUGAACCCGUGUGGGUUGAAAACUGCUGGGAUGACUUGUGGAUAGGAGUGAAAGGCUAAUCAAACUGGGAGAUAGCUGGUUCUUCUCGAAAUAUAUUUAGGUAUAGCCUCGUUUGAUCGCAGAUGGCGGUAAAGCACAGUUUUGGCUAGGGGACGCAAGUUUACCAAACCAUUACUAACUCUGAAUGUCGUCUGUUUACAGAACGGGAGUCAGACUGCGAGGGAUAAGCUUCGUAGUCAAAAGGGAAACAGCCCAGACCAUCAGCUAAGGUCCCAAAGUAUUCAUUAAGUGGUAAAAGAUGUGGAAAUACACAGACAGCCAGGAGGUUGGCUUAGAAGCAGUCAUCCUUUAAAGAAAGCGUAAUAGCUCACUGGUCAAGUGUUUUUGCGCUAAAACAUGAACGGGGCUAAAUGAAUCACCGAAGCUAUGGAUUGCAUCUUUGGAUGCAGUGGUAGAGAAGCGUUCUUUUGUGGCAAGUUUGACCGUAAGGACAGAUGGGGACAAAAGAAGUGAGCAUGUUGGCAUAAGUAACGAAAAAACAGGUGAAAUUCCUGUUCGCCGAAAGCCCAAGGGUUCCGUGAGAAAGGUUCAUCCACUCAGGGUUAGUCGAUACUCUAAGCCGAGGCCAAUUGGAGUAGGCGAUGGGAAGCAGGCUAAAUAUUCCUGCACCACUUUUAGCGUUUGAGUGAAGGGGUGACGCAGAAAGAUAGGUUGACGUGGGGUAUGGUUUACCACGCUAAGCAUUUAGGAGGAUUUUGUAGGCAAAUCCGCAAAAUCAUCACUCUGAGGUGUGACGGGCAUAUCAAUUCUAAGUGAAGAGAUAUGUUCAGCUGAUUCUCCGCUGACUAGAAAAACCUCUAGCGAGCAAAAAAGUGAUCGUACCGCAAACCGACACAGGUGGGCGAGUUGAGAAUACUAAGGCGUUGAGAUAACUCUCAUUCAGGAACUCGGCAAAAUAGCCUCGUAACUUCGGGAGAAGAGGUGCCAAUGUCGUCAUCUUAUGAGAGUAAGAGAAGCGAUUGUUGGUUGCAAUAAAGAGGUCCAAGCGACUGUUUAACAAAAACACAGGGCCAUGCAAACUCGUAAGAGGAAGUAUAUGGUCUGACGCCUGCCCAGUGCUGGAAGGUUAACAGGAGAUGUUAGUUCUUCGGAGCGAAGCAUUGAAUCGAAGCCCCAGUAAACGGCGGCCGUAACUAUAACGGUCCUAAGGUAGCGAAAUCCCUUGUCGGGUAAGUUCCGACCUGCAUGAAUGGCGUAACGACUUGGACGCUGUCUUGAUGAGAGACUCAGUGAAUUUGUAGUCCCAGUGAAAAUGCUGGGUACCCGCGAUAGGACGGAAAGACCCCGUGCACCUUUACUAUAACUUGACAUUGAUUUUUGGAUUGGCAUGUGUAGGAUAGGCGGGAGACGGUGAAGUCAUGGCGCUAGCUGUGACAGAGUCAAUGGUGAAAUACCGCUCUUGUUCGUUUGAAAAUCUAACUUUUUUCCGUAAUCCGGAAGAAGGACAUUGUCUGGUGGGUAGUUUGACUGGGGUGGUCGCCUCCCAAAAUGUAACGGAGGCGUUCAAAGGUUCCCUCAAGGCGAAUAGAAAUCGUCUUUAGAGCGCAAAAGCAUAAGGGAGCUUGACUGCGAGACAUACAGGUCGAGCAGGUGCGAAAGCAGGAUUUAGUGAUCCAGUGGUUCCGCAUGGAAGGGCCAUUGCUAAACGGAUAAAAGGUACGCCGGGGAUAACAGGCUUAUCUCCUCUAAGAGUCCAUAUCGACGAGGAGGUUUGGCACCUCGAUGUCGGCUCAUCGCAUCCUGGGGCUGGAGAAGGUCCCAAGGGUUUGGCUGUUCGCCAAUUAAAGCGGUACGUGAGCUGGGUUCAGACCGUCGUAAGACAGGUCGGUCCUUAUCCAUCGUGGGCGUAGGAUAUUUGAGAGAAGCUGUCCCUAGUACGAGAGGACCGGGAUGGACAAACCUCUGGUGUUCCGGUUGUUUACCAAAAGCAAAGCCGGGUAGCUAGGUUUGGAUGAGAUAACCGCUGAAAGCAUCUAAGUGGGAAACUCACCUCAAGAUAAGAUAUCCCGUUUAUGCAACUUCGGUUGCAUAACAUUAAGACCCCUUGAAGACUACGAGGUUGAUAGGCUGGGUGUGUAAGCACAGUAAUGUGUUGAGCUAACCAGUACUAAUAGGUCGAACGUUUUAUCUAC